CUGCCUGCACAGAACAUCCCAUGUGGGCUGAAACACCAACCUGCAGAGCAGUGCCAGGGAGCCCUCUGAAGCAGAAGUCUUGGUCCUGGCAGGUGACUCGAGCCCUUGUCUAUCCCAGCGACAAAGGGCAUUUGAUGAUGACGCAUCCUGUGCUUCCCUCAAUGGAGAGCUCAUGGGAAGCACAGGAUGCUGCAGUUCAAGUGACAGCCUUCCAUAUGAAAUCAGCAAUGGAGAGAAGAACGUCAUCAUUGUGCAAGCUCUAAUUCAUCCCCAUACCCUCCUGAAGCUGCCUGAUCCUGACAAGCCUGCCAGACACUACAAGCACCAGCCAGGACUCUGACCCAGAGCUUUUCGAGGACAGCCCAGCCCAAGCACAGCCCGAGUGCCCCAACAGCGACACCACCAUGCAGGCUCAGGUCAGCGUCACAGAGGAGAAGGCAAGCAUCUCGGAGGAGGCUGUAGAAUCAGGCCAUGAGUCCCAGGCUCCGAGCAACAGCCUAGGCUCAGAACCACAAUGUCCUUAACAACAGAGGAUUGGUCCCAUCUUAAAGCCUGGACCUCUCACGCCCUCCCUUGUUCCAUUUGAAUAAAAGCACGCUCGUGCUCAAUCAACA